CACGUAGGGGGCAAGCGUUGUCCGGAUUUAUUGGGCGUAAAGAGCUCGUAGGUGGCUUAGUAAGUCGGGUGUGAAAGCCCCGUGCUCAACAUGGGAAUUGCACUUGAAACUGGUUAACUUGAAGAUAUGAGGGGAUGGCGGAAUAACUGGUGUAGAGGUAAAAUUCAUAGAUAUCAGUUGGAACACCCAUGGCGAAGGCAGCUAUCUGGCAUAUUCUUGACUCUGAGCGACGACAGCGUGGGGAGCAAACAGG
rnacentral:rRNA from 1 species